AUGCACGUUGGGAUAAGAAUGUGGUUCACUUUUCUUUUACACAUUAAUACUACAUACUUACGUGAGUUUGAGAGUGUAGUGUGUGGGACCUGAACCAACAAUGGAUGCUUGACGAAGAUGGAAUGCUUCAAGAAUUCAAAAUUGAUAUAUAACUCAUGUGCCUGUAUAGAUUGACACAAGUUUGUUUGCCUUGCAGGUAUCUUCCAAUGGAUUGUGGAAGAUGUUGCUAAAUCAAUUGUUGACAAUAACGAUUGGUACCAUAGAGAGAUUGAUGCUGUUAAUGAACCUUACCAUCCAAUUCCUUUUGGAGCGAUAUCUGAAAAUGAGGUUAUUAUGCAAAUAUGGGUGCUUCUUUAAGAGGCCUUGGAUUGGCUAGCAUAUUGGAUGUGUGGGGCCUAAGUUCCCUACAAUAUUCUAUCUUGCUUUGGGUGGAUCGUUAUUAUCUUAUAUCUACUCUGCUCCACCUUCAAAGGUCAGGAUGGAUUAACUGAAACUGGACGCUGGGUCAGGACGGGUAAUUAGUUAAUUACCUAAAAAACAAACGGGUUUUCCACAAGUCCAAUAAGAAACGAAUUUCUUUUGUUCUUGUUCAUCGAUUAUUACAUCUUGAUG
rnacentral:lncRNA from 1 species